ACUGCGGUAAUUCUAGAGCUAAUACACGCAGCAAAGCUCGGACUCACGAACGAGCGCAUUUAUUAGAGCAAACCAAUCAGGUGAAAACCUGUCCUUUGGUGAAUCUGAAUAACUUUGCAGAUCGCACGGUCUCGCACCGGCGACAUAUCUUUCAAAUGUCUGCCUUAUCAACUUUCGAUGGUAGUUUAUACGCCUACCAUGGUUGUAACGGGUAACGGAGAAUAAGGGUUCGACUCCGGAGAGGGAGCCUGAGAAACGGCUACCACAUCCAAGGAAGGCAGCAGGCACGCAAAUUACCCACUCCCGGCACGGGGAGGUAGUGACGAAAAAUAACGAGGCGGUUCUCUAUGAGGCCCGCCAUCGGAAUGGGCACAAUUUAAAUCCCUUAACGAGGAUCUAUUGGAGGGCAAGUCUGGUGCCAGCAGCCGCGGUAAUUCCAGCUCCAAUAGCGUAUAUUAAAGUUGUUGCGGUUAAAAAGCUCGUAGUUGGAUCUGCGGUCAAGGGAAGUGGUCCUCCGACGGAUGUUACUGCUUUUCCUGACCUAAUACUUUGGUUUUCCCUUGAUGCUCUUAACCGAGUGUCUCGGGCGACCAAAACGUUUACUUUGAAAAAAUUAGAGUGCUCAAAGCAGGCGUUCAGCCUGAAUAGUGGUGCAUGGAAUAAUAAAAGAGGAUCUCGGUUCUAUUUUGUUGGUAUUGGAUUGAGAUAAUGAUCGACGGGGAUAGACGGGGGCAUUCGUAUUGCGACGUUAGAGGUGAAAUUCUUGGAUCGUCGCCAGACGAACAACUGCGAAGGCAUUUGCCAAGAAUAUGCUCUUCAAUCAAGAACGAAAGCGAGAGGCGCGAACGCGAUCAGAUACCGCGGUAGUUCUCGCCGUAAACGAUGCCAACUAGCGAUCCGCCGGAGUUAAAUGAUAACUCGGCGGGCAGCUUCCGGGAAACCAUUUUUUGGGUUCCGGGGGAAGUAUGGUUGCAAAGCUGAUACUUAAAGGAAUUGACGGAAGGGCACCACCGGGAGUGGAGCCUGCGGCUUAAUUUGACACAACACGGGGAAACUCACCCGGCCCGGACACCGUAAGGAUUGACAGAUUGAGAGCUCUUUCUUGAUUCGGUGGGUGGUGGUGCAUGGCCGUUCUUAGUUGGUGGAGCGAUUUGUCUGGUUAAUUCCGAUAACGAACGAGACUCUAGCCUGCUAAAUAGACAGUGAAUCGUUAGUUCACUGUACUUCUUAGAGGGACAAGCGGCAUCUAGCUGCACGAGAUUGAGCAAUAACAGGUCUGUGAUGCCCUUAGAUGUUCGGGGCUGCACGCGCGCUACACUGAAGGUAUCAACAUGCAUUCUACCUUAUCCGAAAGGAUUUGGUAACCCGUUGAAACACCUUCGUGAUUGGGAUAGGGACUUGCAAUUAUGGCCCUUGAACGAGGAAUUCCCAGUAAGUGCGGGUCAUCAGCUCGCGUUGAUUACGUCCCUGCCCUUUGUACACACCGCCCGUCGCUACUACCGAUUGGAUGACUCAUUG
rnacentral:rRNA from 1 species